GAUGAACGCUGGCGGUAUGCUUAACACAUGCAAGUCGAACGGAUGUUUUCGGACAUUAGUGGCGGACGGGUGAGUAACGCGUGAGAAUCUGCCUAUAGGUUGGGGACAACAGAUGGAAACGUCUGCUAAUACCCGAUGUGCCGAGAGGUAAAAGCUUUAGUGCCUGUAGAUGAGCUCGCGUCCGAUUAGCUAGUUGGUUAGGUAAAGGCUGACCAAGGCGACGAUCGGUAGCUGGUCUGAGAGGAUGAUCAGCCACACUGGGACUGAGACACGGCCCAGACUCCUACGGGAGGCAGCAGUGGGGAAUUUUCCGCAAUGGGCGAAAGCCUGACGGAGCAAUACCGCGUGCGGGACGAAGGCUUUUGGGUCGUAAACCGCUUUUGUUAGGGAAGAAUAACUGACGGUACCUAACGAAUCAGCAUCGGCUAACUCCGUGCCAGCAGCCGCGGUAAUACGGGGGAUGCAAGCGUUAUCCGGAAUUAUUGGGCGUAAAGCGUCCGCAGGUGGUUUAUCAAGUCUGCUGUCAAAGCGUGGGGCUUAACCCCAUAAAGGCAGUGGAAACUGAGAGACUAGAGUACGGUAGGGGUAGCGGGAAUUCCCAGUGUAGCGGUGAAAUGCGUAGAUAUUGGGAAGAACACCAGCGGCGAAGGCGCGCUACUGGGCCGAAACUGACACUCAUGGACGAAAGCUAGGGGAGCGAAAGGGAUUAGAUACCCCUGUAGUCCUAGCUGUAAACGAUGACAACUAGGUGUUGCGCG
rnacentral:rRNA from 1 species